rnacentral:rRNA from 1 species
ACGGAAGGCAGCAGUGGGGAAUAUUGCACAAUGGGGGAAACCCUGAUGCAGCGACGCCGCGUGAGCGAUGAAGUAUUUCGGUAUGUAAAGCUCUAUCAGCAGGGAAGAUAAUGACGGUACCUGACUAAGAAGCCCCGGCUAACUACGUGCCAGCAGCCGCGGUAAUACGUAGGGGGCAAGCGUUAUCCGGAUUUACUGGGUGUAAAGGGAGCGUAGACGGCAUAACAAGUCUGGAGUGAAAAUCCGGGGCUCAACCCCGGAACUGCUUUGGAAACUGUUAAGCUUGAGUGCCGGAGAGGUAAGCGGAAUUCCUAGUGUAGCGGUGAAAUGCGUAGAUAUUAGGAGGAACACCAGUGGCGAAGGCGGCUUACUGGACGGUAACUGACGUUGAGGCUCGAAAGCGUGGGGAGCAAACAGGAUUAGAUACCCUGGUA